rnacentral:rRNA from 1 species
GAGGCAACAAUGGGGAAUCCCCCCACAACGGGGGCAACCAUGAUCCAGCAAUGCCGCGUGAGUGAUGAAGCCCGUAGGGGAGUAAAGCUCUUUAGCACGCGACGAUGAUGACGGUAGCGUGAGAAGAAGCCCCGGCUAACUUCGUGCCAGCAGCCGCGGUAAUACGAAGGGGGCGAGCGUUUUGGAAUUACUGGGCUCAAGGGCGCGUAGGCGGCCCGAUCAGUCAGAUGUGAAGGACCGGGCUCAACCUGGGAACUGCAUU